rnacentral:lncRNA from 1 species
CUGGUUCUUUUCUGCUGAGUUAGCAGGAUAAGAUUCAAAGAUUUUAUCCUGUAGUUCAGCAUUUUUGAUGAAUAAACAUCUUCAGUUGAAAUCCGGAGCACUAGGCUAUAGGGUGGCACAUGCCUAUGUUCCCAGCUCUCACAGGUAGGGGUGGAAAGAACAGGAGUUCAAGGUCCUCUUUGGCUACAGAACAAGUUAGAUGCUAGCCUGGGCUACAUGAGAUCCUGUCUCAGAAGAAGGAAGAAAGGAAAAAAAGAAUCUAGAACACUGAAGUAGAUCCUUGGGACAGCCUUUCCCAGGUUAACCAUUAUAUUUAGGGGGACAUGGUUCAUAGAUUUCCCAGCCUUUAUGACUGGAAAUAUUUUUGCAAGUAUAUGUAUAUGUAGUGUGUGUGUGUGUGUGUGUGUGUGUGUGUGUAUGUAUGUAUGUAUGUAUGUAUGUGGUGGUUUGAAAGAAAAUAGCCCCCAAAGGGGGUGUCACUAAUAGGAGGUGUGGCUUUGGUGGAGUGGGUGUGGCUUGUUGGAGGAAGUGUGUCACUGUGGAGGUGGGGUUUGAGGUCUCAUAUAUGCUCAAGUCACCCAGUGUUUCAGACCACUUCCUAUUGCCUGUGAGUCAAGAUGUAAGAACUCUCAGCUCCUUCUCUAGCACCAUGUCUGCCUGCAUACUGCCCUGCUUCCCACCAGGACAAUAAAAGACUAAACCUCUGAACUGUGCUGACCCACAAUCUACACAUUGGACCUCAAACUCUGCUCCCAAGAGGAUACUAUAGGGGGAGCGUCUUCCUGCUAGAAGUGAGCAUAGCACUUCUACAGUCUUAACCUGUCCAACCCAGGAGAAGACUGCACCUCCAAACAGACCAGCCCUGAGACAUCCAGAAAAGCCCCAGGUGGGACACAACCUUAGUCCCACUAAGCACAUUCAGAGAGGCUGCACAUCCCCAGGACAGGACAACACAGGCUGUGAGGCUCAGUCAGUGACCACAAGCCACACACAUUCCCUGUUUCCUAUGGGAAGUAGUCAAGGCAGCAUUGUGCACCCACCAGGACCUGGGUUUGGGACCUGGCUCCAACCUCCUUAAGGGACCAAUAACAUACUAUAGUUCCUGCUGUCGCAGGACCUUUUAC